rnacentral:lncRNA from 10 species
CAGAGGUCAAACGGAAUGUCAAUGUGAAAUAUGAAUAAGACCAAUUUAUUCUGACUAGUAAGCUUUUGAACUUUACUAAAACAGUUUCGUGAUAGUAAAGGAUUUGAAUAUUUCACAUUUUUUAUUGCUAGUUUGAGAAAAAUUAUUAAAAUAUAAUUCCUUUCCAUCAAAAUGUUACACUGAAAAGGCUUAUUCUGAAACAAACAAAAAAUGAGAUUUACAAUCUCCAAUAGACAGCGAGGGAGGUAAAAGAAAAAAAAAAAGCAAGAAGAAUUUAAAAUAAAGAUACAGUUUGUAUUAGUUUUGUAUUGUUGUGGAACAAAUUGCCACAAAUUUAGCAGCUUAAAACAAUACUUAUUUAUUAUAUUACAGCUUCCAUAAGUCAGGAUUCCAGUCACAGCUUAGCUGGAUCCUCUCAGAAGGCUACGAUCAAGGUGUCAGCCAGACUGAGUUCUCAUCAGAGGCUCGACUAGGAGAGGAUCUGCUUCCAAGUUCCCUCAGGUUGUUGGAAGGAUUCAUUUUCUUGUGGCUAAGCUCACAGGAGCUUUCUUCUUCAAGGGCAUCAGGAGAGUGGAGAGCGAGUCUACUCAAAGACUUCUAUACAAAUCAUAAGGUCAAACUCCCAAGAGUUUGAGGUCGAAUUUGAUGGAACACCCAGAUGUCCUCAGCUGCCAUGGAGAAUACUUACCAUAUUUGCUUGCAUAUUUUCCCUAUUAUACUGGCAGACACUUUUAGUUGUUAACAUAGAGGAAAGAGGUGAAUUAAGGAGGUAACCUAUUAAUCACUGUAGCUUGGGGCCAAUAUCAACUUUGAUGUAACCCAAGGCUUUCGGCUUUAUUAUAUUUUUUUUCAGAAAGAAGCCAUUGUUUCACAUGUGGCUAAUAAAAUAAUAAUAAUAAAGAUAGUAAUAAUAGAAGAAAAAGAGCUGACACUCACUGAGCACCUACUAUCCCCACUAUACAAGCAUACACACACACACACACACACACACACACACAUUUUGCCUCUUGUCUUUAUCGCUGUCAUCACCUCAUCACACACUUAUUCUCCUCUCUUCUGGUAAAACUAGCAAAGGUACCUGUUGAAGCCUACAGAAGUCUUGGAGAUGCAUUGGUUUGAUGUGAAAUGCCUUCACAGUGUGGAAGUGUGGCUCUAACUAAAGAUUUCUCAGCAUGGUCCAAAUGUUUGCAGCAUUAUGUAGGGGGUCUGGCAAAUGAUGAAAUUGUGCAAAAGGAUCUGCCUGGGGUUGUGGGUGGGGAAGGAUAUUUCCUUUUUAAAGACCUAACUUCUCUCCUAAACAGCAAGAGCAGGAAAUAACAGCCCCGUGAAUUUAAAAAAUAUGAAAAGACUACCAGGACUGGAAACCCUAGCACAUAGCAACUGCCAGUCUAGGGAACUCCCACAGGUCUAGAAACUACUGUUUGCCUCUAGCAAAAAUUAGGAGAAGAAAGUUUCCUUGCCUGUUAUUAAUUGCCAAAACAUAUGUGUCAAACUUUAAUUGAUACAAGAGCUUCUUGGGACAUUUACACAUGAAUGGAGAGAAAAAGGAGGCAAUAUCUAGGGUUUUGCCCUUAAUCGUCUUUUGUAAUUUUCUCAAGUAUAACAAAUGCUGAAUUCUCCAGAGGAAUAAACUCAAAGAUUUAGGAAACUUGGAUACCAACAAGACAUACCUUUUUCAUCUUUGCCAGGUGCUCUAGUUUGGAUGUUUGACUCCCCAAACCUCAUGUGGAAAUGUGAUCCCCAAUGUUGGAGGUGGGGGAAGGUGUUAGGGACAUGGGGACGGAUCCCUCAGGAACAGCAAAACGUCCUCCAGGUCUGAUUGUUAAAGAGAGCCUGGCACACCUCCUCCCCUUCUUGCUCUCUCUCUCUCUCUCUCUCUCUCUCUCCCUCUCUCUCUCUCUCUCCCUCUCCUCUCUCUCUUUCUCCCUUUCUCUCUCCCUCUUCCCCCCUCUCUUACCAUGUGAUUUCCGCUUCCCUUUGCCUUCCACCAUUAGUGGAAGCUUCCUGAGUUUCUCAUCAAAAUAGAUACUGGUGGCAUGCUUCUUGUACAGCUUGCAGAAUAGUACUUAGGGAAAUUUAUUUCCUUUUUUCUUGUUUUCUUUCUUUUUUCUUCCCCUUCCUCUUUCCUCCCUCACUCGCUCACUCCCUAACUCACUCUCUCUCUCUCUCACCUCUUGUUUUAUUGCAAAAUGUGUAUGUUGAGGGAGGUUGGCAUAUAUAAAUAUGAGAUAAACCUAAGAGACAACAUGAAAAGUUUCCUCAAGUAAAAAGCAUGGAAAGGGCCGGGCGCGGUGGCUCACCUGUAAUUCCAGCACUUUGGGAGGCUGAGGCGGGCAGAUCAUGAGGUCAGGAGAUCUAGACCAUCCUGGCUAAUACAAUGAAACCCCGUUUCUACUAAACGUACAAAAAAUUAGCCGGGCAUAGUGGCAGGUGCCUGUAAUCGCAGCUAUUCGGGAGACCGAGGCAGGGAAAUUGCUUGAACCCAGGAGGUGGAGGUUGCAGUGAGCCGAGAUCGCGCCACUGCACUCCAGCCUGGGUGACAGAGCGAGACUCUGUCUCAAAAAAAAAAAAAAAAAAAAAAGCAUGGAAAGAAGAAUGCUAACAGGAUUUAAGAGAGGGGAGGAUAAGAGGGAAGGAGAAACACCAAAAGCUUCAUGAGUACCUUUUUUUUUUUUUUAAUUAUACUUUAAGUUUUAGGGUACAUGUGCACAUUGUGCAGGUUAGUUACAUAUGUAUACAUGUGCCAUGCUGGUGUGCUGCACCCACUAACUCGUCAUCUAGCAUUAGGUAUAUCUCCCGAUGCUAACCCUCCCCCCUUCCCCCACCCCACAACAGUACCCAGAGUGUGAUAUUCC